UGGAACCCACAGGUUGAAGCAGGUUGGCAGAGGUAGCCAGGCAUCAUGGCGGCCCUUGUCAGUGGAGAGAACGGCCGCUAUUUUGCCUGUUAUUCUUCCAUCGUAACUAAAUGAGAUAGUAAUUGACGAACACAACACACCACGUGGAGAGAAGCAAGGUGUGGAGUACCCAAGCCUCUCACAGUCCAUGCUAGUAGACUCACCCUGCAUGUGGAAAUCUCCCAAAAUGCACGGAGGUUAUUCCAGAGCUGCAGGACAGAGUACUUGAGGCCAUUGGUGAACAGAAAGCUGAGGUUGAACAAAGCCAAGAAUUGAUAGCUGCCCAAGGUGUAAGCAAGAUUCACAAUGAUGAGGUCAUUGUGACGUGUGCAAUGUGUCCACUGGUCUUGGCCUUCCUGACCAAGGCAGCCACACAAAGGAAAUUCCACGUUAUUGUUGCCGAACGUGCCCCUAAAUAUGAUGUAAGGUGUUUUAUGCGUCUCUUUCACGUCAUCGUGUCUGAUGUGCACAAUACAUAACACAGGGACUGCCACGUGUAGGGGUGAUGGCUUCUUGCAGCUUCCUUUAUUUUAUUAUGUUCUUAUGUUCUCAAUACAUCUUUUACUU